rnacentral:rRNA from 1 species
GAUGAACGCUGGCGGCGUGCCUAAUACAUGCAAGUCGAGCGAACGGAUGAGAAGCUUGCUUCUCUGAUGUUAGCGGCGGACGGGUGAGUAACACGUGGAUAACCUACCUAUAAGACUGGGAUAACUUCGGGAAACCGGAGCUAAUACCGGAUAAUAUUUUGAACCGCAUGGUUCAAAAGUGAAAGACGGUCUUGCUGUCACUUAUAGAUGGAUCCGCGCUGCAUUAGCUAGUUGGUAAGGUAACGGCUUACCAAGGCAACGAUGUAUAGCCGACCUGAGAGGGUGAUCGGCCACACUGGAACUGAGACACGGUCCAGACUCCUACGGGAGGCAGCAGUAGGGAAUCUUCCGCAAUGGGCGAAAGCCUGACGGAGCAACGCCGCGUGAGUGAUGAAGGUCUUCGGAUCGUAAAACUCUGUUAUUAGGGAAGAACAUAUGUGUAAGUAACUGUGCACAUCUUGACGGUACCUAAUCAGAAAGCCACGGCUAACUACGUG